GAUGAAGAACGCAGCGAAAUGCGAUAAGUAAUGUGAAUUGCAGAAUUCAGUGAAUCAUCGAAUCUUUGAACGCACCUUGCGCUCCUUGGUAUUCCGAGGAGCAUGCCUGUUUGAGUGUCAUUAAAUUCUCAACCUCACCCGUUUUCUGAACGGUUCUCCGAGGCUUGGAUGUGGGGGUUUGUGCAGGCUGCCUCAGCGCGGUCUGCUCCCCUGAAAUGCAUUAGCGAGUUCGUACUGAGUUCCGUCUAUUGGUGUGAUAAUUAUCUACGCCGUGGACAGGGUUUAGACUCGCUUCUAACCGCCCGCAAGGACAAUACCUUUGACAAUUUGACCUCAAAUCAGGUAGGACUACCCGCUGAACUUAAGCAUAUCAAUAAGCGGAGGA
rnacentral:misc_RNA from 1 species